GUGCCUAUGGUGUAACGGUUAACACUGGAGCUUGUGGAGCUCUCGAUACCGGUUCGAUUCCGGUUAGGCACCCCA
rnacentral:tRNA from 1 species